rnacentral:rRNA from 1 species
GAUGAACGCUGGCGGCGUGCCUAAUACAUGCAAGUCGAGCGAACGGACGAGAAGCUUGCUUCUCUGAUGUUAGCGGCGGACGGGUGAGUAACACGUGGAUAACCUACCUAUAAGACUGGGAUAACUUCGGAAAACCGGAGCUAAUACCGGAUAAUAUUUUGAACCGCAUGGUUCAAAAGUGAAAGACGGUCUUGCUGUCACUUAUAGAUGGAUCCGCGCUGCAUUAGCUAGUUGGUAAGGUAACGGCUUACCAAGGCAACGAUGCAUAGCCGACCUGAGAGAGUGAUCGGCCACACUGGAACUGAGACACGGUCCAGACUCCUACGGGAGGCAGCAGUAGGGAAUCUUCCGCAAUGGGCGAAAGCCUGACGGAGCAACGCCGCGUGAGUGAUGAAGGUCUUCGGAUCGUAAAACUCUGUUAUUAGGGAAGAACUUAUGUGUAAGUAACUGUGCACAUCUUGACGGUACCUAAUCAGAAAGCCACGGCUAACUACGUG